GAGUUUGAUUAUGGCUCAGAGUGAACGCUGGCGGCGUGCCUAAUACAUGCAAGUCGAACGGAGAUAUGAGGGCUUGCUCUUAUAUCUUAGUGGCGCACGGGUGAGUAAUGUAUAGCUAAUCUGCCCUACACUAGAGGACAACAGUUGGAAACGACUGCUAAUACUCUAUACUCCUUCUUUACAUAAGUUAAGUCGGGAAAGUUUUUCGGUGUAGGAUGAGGCUAUAUCGUAUCAGCUAGUUGGUGAGGUAAUGGCUCACCAAGGCUAUGACGCGUAACUGGUCUGAGAGGAUGAUCAGUCACACUGGAACUGAGACACGGUCCAGACUCCUACGGGAGGCAGCAGUAGGGAAUAUUGCUCAAUGGGGGAAACCCUGAAGCAGCAACGCCGCGUGGAGGAUGACACUUUUCGGAGCGUAAACUCCUUUUCUUGGGAAAGAAUUAUGACGNACCCAAGGAAUAAGCACCGCA
rnacentral:rRNA from 1 species